rnacentral:rRNA from 1 species
UACAGGGGGGGCAAGCGUUGUUCGGAAUUACUGGGCGUAAAGGGCUCGUAGGCGGCCAACUAAGUCACACGUGAAAUCCCCAGGCUUAACCUGGGAACUGCGUGUGAUACUGGAUGGCUUGAAUUCGGGAGAGGGAUGCAGAAUUCCAGGUGUAGCGGUGAAAUGCGUAGAUAUCUGGAGGAAUACCGGUGGCGAAGGCGGCAUCCUGGACCGACAUUGACGCUGAGGAUCGAAAGCUAGGGGAGCAAACGGG